rnacentral:lncRNA from 1 species
UUCCUUCUAUUCCGCGUAGGUGAUGAGAAUAGGUUGUAAUAUACUUUUCUUUUAAUGAAAAUUUAUUUCUGUCUCUUACUUCAUGUUCAUACCUGAGUUAUUUCCUGUCUUGUGUUUAUGCUUGGAUUGUUUUUGCCUUUGUCUGUUUUUUAAUACUCUACCGAGCUAUCUAAACUAUUACAAGCACAAUUUGUUCAAAUUUUUUCAGAAUGAAAUACUCAAACUAUUCCCCAUAAAUCAUAAGGAAUUGAGCACACAGUCCCUUACCGCUUGCUUUUAAGCUAACCAGGGCUGAAGACUU